AGUUGAGAGGAAACAUAGGAUCAGGAGUUAGAAGUCAUCCCAAGCUACAGAGAGAAUCCAAGGCUAGCCUGGGCUACCUUAGAGCCCAUCUCAAACACACAAGCAAAACUGAAGGAGACAUUGUCCUUAAAUAGGAUGCCAUUAAACCUGGCACUAAGACAGGAGCUAUUCUGUAACUAUAAAGACCUAGGCUCCAGCUACCUACCUGCCUUCCAGCUGGAUUCUGUUCCUUGCCACAUGCGUGACCCAGAUAGUCACCACGGCUCUGAGCCACUCUAUAAACACGCCAGAACCAAAAGGAAGCGCCUCUUCAUCAUGGUUUUUUAAUGCCUUAAUACUAUGGGACUCUAACAGGAAUGUUAUCAGUCUUAACAAUCUCCCAGGGUGUGCUGGUGCAUAUCUUUAAUACCUGCCCUCAGGAGGCAGUGGAAGGUGGAUCUCUGUGAGCUUGGAGCCAGUCUGGUCUAUAUAAUGUAUUCCAGGCCAGUCAGGACCUCACAGUGAGACCCUGCCUCAAAAAACAAACAAACAAACAAACAAACCCAGUGUAGGCAUUCCUUCUGUGGGACUCCUCCGAGUCUUAGGAGUUCACUUUCAGUUUUCCAAGCAAACCUACUUUGAUUUCCUCCACUCAAAGACCGAAUGAAACAAUGGCACCUGUGUAACUGUAGCUGUUAACCUCCUGUUGUAACUGUUGUCUCUGAGGCUGACUGCCUCCACAUGCUAACCUAGACCUAUUCCUGGAAGCUUCUAGCCUCUGUGCAACCUAAUGUAGGCCUAGAAUGUUUUUAGCCUGAGACGUACUGCUGUUAAAACUGCCCUUUCUUGUGCUUUCUGAUCUCUGGCAGGCUGGUUCAACUCAGCUGUUCUGCUCAAACUCCUCUCCCUGCCGACUGAUGCAGUCUGGCUUCUGUCAGCUUCUGAAUUGCCCCUGCUUGGCCUCUAACUCUAGCAGUUUGUUCUAAUCUUCUGGCUCCUUCUCAUCCUCUUGUUCAUUUUGUCUUUACCUGAGUCUAGUUUGUUCUGUCUUCAGUCUGUCUCUGUACAACUGUCCUUGUAAAACUGCCCCCUUCUCUCUCUCUGCGCUGCUCCACUCUGCCUCUCCACGCUCCUGCACUGCUCUCCACAGACUCUACUGUAUCCCGCACUGCACUCUCUUCCUCCGCCCUUAAGCAGCUUCCCUUUCCUCUCUCUUCUCCUGAGAUCUGGGCAGAUCCUGUCCUGCCAAAUCUUUCUCUGAUUUGUUGUCACUUUGUCUGCCACUCAAUUAGACAUCACUUUCAAACAUGGGUGCUGCUUCCUUCUGUAAACUAACUCUAACUUCAUUGUUUGGGAUUGAAAGUGAGUACUAGGGGCCCGUCUGUAUUCCAGUCAGAGGGACUAAAGGUGUGUGCUAAGGGCUGAGCCACACCACAACUGGAAACAGGGCUUUUUGGUAAAUAACACAAUUCCGAGGUUCACAGUGUGAUAGAAUACCCUGCAACACUCCUGACUGGUUGGUCACCUGGGCCUCAGUUUCCACAUCUGUAAAACGAUAUAUCAGCCAAGAGUGAAUCCCAGGGUUGUUAACACCACCCGCUCCCUAACUAACACUGCACAUCAGUGCAGGGACUGAGGUCAGCUGCCUGGAACAUGAGAGUAACUGUCAUGCUUGCUCUUUUCAGAGAGUUCUAGAAGAGGAGCUAGGCAAGGACUGGCAAGACAAGGUGGCCUCCCUCGAGGAAGUGCCCUUUGCUGCUGCCUCCAUUGGGCAGGUACACCAAGGCUUGCUAAAGGAUGGGACUGAGGUGGCUGUGAAGAUCCAGGUAAGCAGAGGGGUCGGGAAGGGCUGGGGUGGGCACUGUGCUGUCCCCAAGGCAUGGGUGACUCCUGACACACACACCCUCCCUCCUGACAGUACCCAGGUGUUGCCCAGAGCAUCCAGAGUGACGUGGAGAACCUGCUGGCCCUGCUCAAGAUGAGUGUGGGCCUGCCAGAGGGUGAGGUGCCCCCUCCAUCCCCACCGAGGGAGGGAUGCUUAAAAGAGGAAGUGGGGCUAGACUGAAGAGAGACACGUUGUAGGUGUACAUAACUCAUACAGGUGACAGGAGGAUGCCAAGCAGGGGAAGUCCAGAGAGAAUGAGUGUAUGUGACAUAGCUACACAGAAACAAGCCCAGAUCAAAUGCACAGACAGACAGACAGACAGGUGUGCAGUCUGCAGGAGAACCACAGAAGCAGAAGAGACUACUUGGUAGGCAGCAUGCCUGUGUUGGGUCACAUGAAGAUGACCGAUAGACAGAGCAAGGUGUGCUUGUGGAAGAAAGGCAGUGGAGAGACGUAGGCAGGCCUACAGGCAGAAACAGGAGGGGAAGAUGGCUGCGGAUGUAGCUAGGUAGAGUGCUUGUCUGGAAGGCUUGAGGCCCUGGGUUGAUCUCUGGUACCAAAUAGGGUGUGGUAGUACACACAGGACCCCAUGCUCAGGCGGGGAAAGUAGGAAGAUCAGAAGUUCAAGGUCAUCUUUGGCUAAAUGGCCAGUGAAAAGAACUGCUUCUGGCUGGGGGCUGGGACAGUUCCUGUGACAGAGCCAAGCUCAGGAGACAGACUUCCACAGAGACCACAGUUCUGGGAAAGACAGAGGGAAGGUGAAUCUCAGAUGAGAUGGGUAAACUGGGUCUGGUGACUGACACUUACAACCUUAGCACUGGGGAAUCUGAGACAGGAGGAUUGCCAAAAGUUAUGGUCAACUCUGGAUCAGGAGGUCAAGACCAGCCUUGGCUACUCACUGAGUUGGAGGCCAGCCUGGACUACAUAAGAGCCUGUCUUU
rnacentral:lncRNA from 1 species